GUCUCCAUAGUAUAGUGGUUCGUAUAUCUCAUUGUGGUCUUUCUACACAAUCAGUACCUGAGGAGACGCGUGUUCGAUUCACGCUGGGGACA
rnacentral:tRNA from 2 species